rnacentral:ncRNA from 1 species
UCCCUGGUUGAUCCUGCCAGUAGUCAUAUGCUUGUCUCAAAGAUUAAGCCAUGCAUGUCUCAGUGCAAGCCGCAUUAAGGUGAAACCGCGAAAGGCUCAUUAAAUCAGUUGUGGUUCCUUAGAUCGUACCCAAGUUACUUGGAUAACUGUGGUAAUUCUAGAGCUAAUACAUGCCGACAGAGUUCCGACCGUCGCGGCGCCCUCGGGCGUCGCUCGCGGGAGGAACGCUUUUAUUAGAUCAAAACCGGCCCGUCGCGGCGCGCUUCGUGCGCGUCCCGAUCGCGGCCCGC